rnacentral:rRNA from 1 species
UACAGAGGGUGCGAGCGUUAAUCGGAAUUACUGGGCGUAAAGCGCGCGUAGGCGGUUUUGUAAGUCGGGUGUGAAAUCCCCAAGCUUAACUUGGGAACUGCAUUCGAGACUGCAUAGCUAGAGUAUGGGAGAGGGAAGUGGAAUUUCAGGUGUAGCGGUGAAAUGCGUAGAUAUCUGAAGGAACAUCAGUGGCGAAAGCGACUUCCUGGACCGGUAUUGACGCUGAGGCGCGAAAGCUAGGGGAGCAAACGGG